rnacentral:rRNA from 1 species
GACGGAGGAUGCAAGCGUUAUCCGGAAUGAUUGGGCGUAAAGCGUCUGCAGGUGGCAGUUCAAGUCUGCUGUCAAAGACCGGGGCUUAACUUCGGAAAGGCAGUGGAAACUGAACAGCUAGAGUAUGGUAGGGGCAGAGGGAAUUCCUGGUGUAGCGGUGAAAUGGCGUAGAGAUCAGGAAGAACAUCGGUGGCGAAGGCGCUCUGCUGGACCAUAACUGACACUCAGGGACGAAAGCUAGGGGAGCGAAUGGG